AGAAUCAACGCUGGCGGCGUGCCUAACACAUGCAAGUCGAACGCGACUGGGGACUUCGGUUCCCAGUUGAGUGGCGAACGGGUGAGUAACACGUGGGUGAUCUACCUUCGAGUGGGGGAUAACGUCCCGAAAGGGACGCUAAUACCGCAUGACGUUCUGGGUUUGAAGACCUGGAAACCAAAGCCGGGGACCGCAAGGCCUGGCGCUUAAAGAGGAGCCCGCGUCCGAUUAGCUAGUUGGUGGGUAACGCUCACCAAGGCAACGAUCAGUA
rnacentral:rRNA from 1 species